CCGAUCCCGAAGACAAGAAGCCAGAGGGGUAUGAUAACAUCCCAAAAGAAAUACCGGAUCCCUAUGCCAAGAAGCCUCAAGACUGGGAUGAU